CCCAACCGGCGCAUCUCACAACUCUUAGUUUGCGCAGCCUCCGUCCGCACCCUCGCCCGCCAGCCUCGACGCUCGCCUCGCCUUCCGCCUGCCUCUCCUCUCUCCUUUUUAUCCUCUGGUUGCUCCUUCUCCUCGGCGCCGCACUACAAGACACCAAAAGUAAGGACAGGAUGGUGGAGGGCGCUGGUGGAGGGCGGUGGAUGGGCGUACCGGUGGCUGGCAGCUACGGAUCCGAACGAGUAACCGGCAAGUUGUAUGGCGGGGAGAUUAUAAUAAUAGCGGGUUUCCAUGGCAACCUCUGGCCACGCCAUCUCCUGCUGGUAUAAAAAGGCAGCUUGGAGCAUCGACCUCACACACACGGGCAACCGCUGACCCAGGCUCCACUCCGCCCUCCUCCUCCUUCUCCUCCUCCUCUUCCUCUCUCUCCUCCGGCAUCCCUCGACGUCUGGAGCGACCUUGCACCCUCGGAAGCCUCCCCGCAGCAAGACUUCGCCUCCCCCGAGCCUGAAGACUCUGCGGCGGCCCCGGAAGCUUCCCUUCAAAACCUGAGUCGUUUCCAGCCUGAGCCGCAGACCCCAGCUGCCUGGACAAACACAGGCAGCCUCACGCCCCUUCAUUAGCCUGGGUGACUGGCGGAGACCUGCCUUGGCUUGACUCAGCCGUGCUUCGCCGCCGCCCGACCUGCCCGCCACCACCACCAUCAUCACCAGCCUCCUCUGAAAACCUAUCACUGCCAGAAAACUGUAGUUGCAAAAGUUUCACGGUUCCCCCUUUUUUCCGCCCUGGCCGGGGACCCUCAAAAAACUGUCCAGUGAGAGGCGGAGCAGCACAGUUGAGAUACAGAACCACACGGUAAGCAUUCCCUAUUGUGUUCCUCGGCUGAAGGAAACUUGCCAUGAUGGUUUCUUGCAUCUUUCGCUGCUAUUUUUGUCAAACUUUUGUGUGGCACUGAAUCAUCUGGUUUGAUCCAAAGCCUUUAGAAACAAAACAUAUCAGCACUUUUUUACGCUGUUCUCUGAAGGAUUUUUGAAGUUUCUGUAUUUAUCUAUUUUUUUAUGCAUGAAUUGCUGUGCUUUGCUAUUUUUUACGUGAAGUAAGCAGUAAACGCUUUAAGAAACUUUGCAAAAUAUACAUAUAAACAAUGUAAACGAAAAAGGAGUGUGCGAGCGCGAGUCCGCCUCCCAGCCGCCCUCCGACCAACUGGAACCAAUUAGCGGUCUCCUCUGGAAUUGCCUGGAAUCAAUUUGUGGCGGUGAUCAUUGUGGACAUGUGUGGCGGGGCGGCGGCUGGGUCAAUGUGCUGCUCUUGAUCACCACGCACACUUUACGAGCCGCCGCUGGCCGCCUUCCAGGGUCCGGCCAGCCACGUGACUCCUUCCCCGCCCCGGCCUAGCCCCGCCCACACCCUCCCCGCGGGGCUACUUCCACACCCGACUGCAGUUUUGGCCACUCCUGUUAGCUUAUUUAGUCCAUCGCCCGGACCCGAGGCUGAGGGCGAGUGAGGGAGCCGCCAAGGCCUCACCACAGCUGCCGCCGCCACGUUUUGAGUGUGGCGGCGCCGCGAGAGACGGGGUGACGCCAGCAGCGGUCGCCAGCCUGUCUGCCAGGUCGCCGUUCUCGCUCCGCCGGGAAUCAUUACCCGAGGCGAUCACCGACCCUUGACGGGGCGUGACAGCUGUCGUGGUGGUGGUGGGCAGGCGGAGCAAACCCACACCACGCACACCAACACUCACGUCACCCACAACAACUAUCACAACUAUAAAAAAAACAGCCACAUCACCAGCAGCAGCACCAACAAUUACCACACCACCAGCAUCACCAGCAACAACUACAACAGCAACCACCACCACCACCACCACCACCACCACCACCACCACCACUACCAUCACUACCACCACCACAUCAAAGCGUAGAGCAACACUGCCCGCGUGUCCCUAACCCGCGAAAGAGCAAGACUCGGUCACAGACGGAGAUGGGCAAGGCGCGAAGGGCAGGAGGCGGGGUCGUGUUGACAGGCGUGUGGCGGCACCGCUCGCUCAGAGACACGAGGCCCGAGGGCGAUGCUGCCUGAUUACCAAAUCCCUCGUCGCUGUCAAGUCGCGGCAUGACAUGACCCACGCAGGGGUCGCCGCCACCCAGAGCCGCUGGGACCACGCUGUUCGCCGCCUGACGCAAGGAGAGGAGAGGAGAGAGCGAGAGGGGGAGGACCGCCAAACCGGGGGAAGGAGGGAGGGCGGCGUGACGAGGGCCGCCAACACCACCACCACCAUCACCACCACCACCACCACCACCACCUCCACCAUCACCACCACCACCACCACCACCGCCGCCGCCGCUGCCACCACCAUCCGUACAGCCGCCACACGGGGGCGCGGCCAGUUGGUUUCUGCGGCAGAGAGAGAGAGGGAGAGAGAGAGAGAAAACACGCGAGGUGUUCGCCCAGGUGGAGGAGGUGGAGGAAGAGGAGGAGGAACAGCAGCAGCAUGGAGGAAAGUGGAGGAGGAAGAGCGGUAGAGGAGGAGUAGAAGCAGGAAAGCGAAGAAGGUGUGACUGCCGGUGUGACCCAACCCAUCACCCAGCCAGCCAGCCAAGCCAACCUCUCCCUCUCUCUCCCACUCUCUCUCUCCAGCCCCACUACCAAGAGGCUCCAAUCGCUUAUAUACUGCAUCCCAGGCCAGCAGCAGCAGCAGCAGCAGCAGCCCUCGCAGUCAGGCAGAGAGGAGGGCCGGCCAGUUAGCCAGCCGGACGCACACCGCCGACAGGGAAGCAGGCAGCCAAUCAUCCGCCGUGUCCCGUGUGAGCAAACCCUCCUCCAGGCAGUCACCCAUGCAGCCAAGCGGGGAAACGCAGCCAAACAAUCACCCAGCCAUCCGGAAAGAGUCAUCCAAUCAUGCAGCGAACUACCAUCACCGUCACCACCAUCACCACCAUCACCUUACUCACUCACUCACUCACUCGGGGACUCUUCGCCCACCGCAGCUCCUCAAUACGUCCUCAAACGUCGACCUUCAUAGCAACCUCUCAGUCAGUCGUGGAGAAAGAGGAGGAAGAUGGAGGCACUUAUGGACCUAAAAAUGAGGUAGGAGGAGGAGGAGGAGGAGGAGGAGGAGGAGGAGACUACGUGGUUGGUCUAAUUUUCCUAGUAACGGUUGAGUUGUGUGAUAAUAAAAAGUUAGUCAAAUAUUUUCCUCCUCUUUUCCUCUUCCUAAUGUUUCUUUUUUUCCCCUCUGAUCUUCCUUAAUUUUCUACUUGUUUUUUACUGUUCUUUUAAUUUUUACUUUAUUUUUUUCUUUCCAGUUUUCCAAUUUUUCCUCUUCCUGUUUUUUUCUUUUCUUAUUUUCUUAGUUUUCUGUCUUCUCUUCCUUCUGUUUUUUUUUCUUUCCAUUUAUCAUCCCAGUCAUUUUUAUUCAUUUUUUUUUUCCUUUUAUAAGUUAAGUCUCUUCUUCUUCUUCUCAGCUUACUUCUUAUUUUUUUUAUUCUUUUUUUUCUUUCCCAUCCUACGUUCCCUGCUUCAAUUUUUCCUCUU